rnacentral:lncRNA from 1 species
AAAUGGAAACUGAACAGCCAGAGGAAACCUUCCCUAACAUCGAAAUCAACAGUGACUCUGGUAAACAUCCUGCAGAAGACAUGAAAGAGGAAAAAGCAUUUAAAGAUCUAGAAACACUGAUGAGAUGGUUGAAUUAGGCAUUCUGCUUCAGAGCAGAAUGCUGGGGCAGUGACUGGAAAAGGAAGCAAGAAUAUGAAGUUUCUCCGUACAGACCACAAUGCCAAUGCUUUAGUCCCAGACAGCAGGGGCCCCG